AGUGAACGCUGGCGGUAGGCCUAACACAUGCAAGUCGAACGGCAGCACAGUAAGAGCUUGCUCUUACGGGUGGCGAGUGGCGGACGGGUGAGGAAUACAUCGGAAUCUACUUUUUCGUGGGGGAUAACGUAGGGAAACUUACGCUCAUACCGCAUACGACCUACGGGUGAAAGCAGGGGAUCUUCGGACCUUGCGCGAUUGAAUGAGCCGAUGUCGGAUUAGCUAGUUGGCGGGGUAAAGGCCCACCAAGGCGACGAUCCGUAGCUGGUCUGAGAGGAUGAUCAGCCACACUGGAACGGAGACACGGUCCAGACUCCUACGGGAGGCAGCAGUGGGGAAUAUUGUACAACGGGCGCAAGCCUGAUCCAGCCAUACCGCGUGGGUGAAGAAGGCCUUCGGGUUGUAAAGCCCUUUUGUUGGGAAAGAAAAGCAGCAGGUUAAUACCCCGCUGUUCUGACGGUACCCAAAGAAUAAGCACCGGCUAACUUCGUG
rnacentral:rRNA from 1 species